CACUUGUAGAUUCUUGUUGAUCAUUUUAUGUUUCUCCCUUAAUUAUUUCUUUAAUAGAUCAUAUAAUAAUAUAUCUGAACAAAUCUGUUAAUAGUGGAAUUUUGCAUGCAUAAUUAGGCUAUAAAGGGUUUUGUUCACAUUAUUCUUUCAUAAGAUAUGGCUAUGGCCUACAAUAGCAAUAUUCUUGCUUUAUUAUGCAUAAUGUGUUGCGUUUUUCAUUUGCCAUUGUGCUCUGUCCGGAGCCAUAUUAUGGUCUUUAUCUGCUUUUCUGAAGUUCCUAACAUUGUUCUCUUGGGCUGUAUGCUAGCUUGACUUUCUUAUUCUUGCUUGGUAUAAAAAUGCAUUGAGAGCAUUGCAUUGUCUUUUAAGAUUUAGGAACCAACUCCUUGGGCACAUUUCUUCAUACAAUGGCCACAUGUACACAAAUAGUGUAAGCCAGGUUUCCGGUAUAGAUCAUCUCCUAUCUAAUAGUCUAGCUGCAAUUUUUUGUAGUUAUAUGGUGACAAUACAAUACUAUAAAUGAUUUUGUGGACAGUAAUGAAUAGUCGAUACGAAAAAUAUUUGGCCCUUUAAAUAACUCAUGGAGCAUACUGAAAGAAGAAAGGCACCUUGCUACAGGGUAUAUUUGAAAAUCUGUUAGAAAAGGUGGAGGUGGCUAAUCCAAGAAGAAGCCAUUUUUCCAUGUGAGAUUCUCAGCAACUUCAAGAGAGCAAAACUUGUUGAGUUCGUGUAGUGUAUGCCCUAAUCUAUCUUAUAUAUACUCUCAAUUGGUUAACCUGAAGGAGAAAAACAUUUCUCAUGAAAUGCAUAUCAUAAAUUUAUGCUAACCUUCUUACCAAAAAAAAAAAAAAUUAUGCUAACCUACACUGUAAGAAACUAUCUUUCUGACAGCUCCUAAAUUUGAUAUGCUUGCUUUUUUUUUUCUCCUUGCUCUUUCAUAUGGAACAAGAUAUGCAGAGAUGGAAGCUCUUGAUGUCCUUCAGGAACAGUGGCAGAUGACUGGAUUUUUAGCUACAGA
rnacentral:lncRNA from 1 species